rnacentral:rRNA from 1 species
GACGAACGCUGGCGGCGUGCCUAACACAUGCAAGUCGAGCGGAGUCGAUCGACGGAAGCCUUCGGGCGGAAGAUGGUUGACUUAGCGGCGGAUGGGUGAGUAACGCGUGGGCAACCUGCCUCGAAGACCGGGAUAACAGCCCGAAAGGGCUGCUAAUACCGGAUGUGGUCAAGGAUCCGCAUGGAUUUUUGAUUAAAGGGGAAACCCGUUUCGAGAUGGGCCCGCGUCCUAUCAGCUAGUUGGUGAGGUAAAAGCUCACCAAGGCGACGACGGGUAGCCGGCCUGAGAGGGUGACCGGCCACACUGGAACUGAGACACGGUCCAGACUCCUACGGGGGGCAGCAGUGGGGAAUCUUCCACAAUGGGCGAAAGCCUGAUGGAGCGACGCCGCGUGAGCGAAGAAGGCCUUCGGUUGUAAGCGUCUGUCUGGAGGGACGAAGGAAGUGACGGUACCUCCGGAGGAAGCCACGGCUAACUACGUG